CCUACGGGAGGCAGCAGUGGGGAAUAUUGGACAAUGGGGGGAACCCUGAUCCAGCGACGCCGCGUGAGUGAAGAAGGAUUUCGGUAUGUAAAGCUCUAUCAGCAGGGAAGAAAGAAAUGACGGUACCUGACUAAGAAGCUUCGGCUAACUACGGGCCAGCAGCCGCGGUAAUACGUAGGGGGCAAGCGUUAUCCGGAAUUACUGGGUGUAAAGGGAGCGUAGACGGCGAGGCAAGUCUGAGGUGAAAGGCGGGGGCCUAACCCCCGGACUGCUUUGGAAACUGUAUGGCUGGAGUGCAGGAGAGGUAAGUGGAAUUCCUAGUGUAGCGGUGAAAUGCGUAGAUAUUAGGAAGAACACCAGUGGCGAAGGCGGCUUACUGGACUGUAACUGACGUUGAGGCACGAAAGCGUGGGGAGCAAACAGGAUUAGAUACCCCUGUAGUC
rnacentral:rRNA from 1 species